AACCUAUUGAGAUAAAGAGAGGCAUGUGGAAUUCUAGAAGAGGAGAUAAGUGGUAGAAUUUACUUUAUAGCUCUUUAAGUCUCCAGGGAUCAUACAUAAAUCAAUGUCUAUUUAUCAAACACAUAUUUUGCUAUCUGUUAAGAAGGGAAAAGACUCCAGGCUCUUUUCAACCUCUGUAGGGAGGGCUCAGUGGCAUAUCACUGCUCCACAUACAUGGCUCAUUGCUGGAAGAAGAGAUGAGCACUUACACACAGCAUGAUCAGGUUUGAACCCAGGACCCUGGUACAGAGAGUGAGAAUUUCUGGGAACAGCUCAUGCCAGACAGCACAAAAGAAAAUAGGAAACAAAAUGCCUCUUCUGACCCACAACCUGGUCAGAUUUGGCUGGAGGACCUUUGUGGAUACUGAAAGAGCAGCAGAUAUUUUGGACCAAUGAAUAGAUUUGAUUCUGUAGGAAUAGUGAGGUAGAGGUAGGGAGUUGGACAAGCAGAUGUGGGGACCACAGAUAUCACAGAUCUAAAGGAUGGUAAAGUUAAAAGGAAUUUUAGAAUGCAGCUAGCUCAACCCAAUCAUUUCAUAGCUAUAAAAAGGACAGAGUACUUGCCAUGACCAUGGUCACCUGGUGAUAGAAGAAAUGUGAUUCACCUGAAAGAUACCUGGUCUAGGGCUACAUGGGGAGCAGGCCACUACCAUUUGAGGUUCCACUAUCCUGGGACAAAAGUAAAAGAAAGAAUAGAUUGAAGGAUUUUUAAGAAUGAGCUUGCUUCGUGGGUCCUGAUACCAAUCAGUAGUGGCUUCA
rnacentral:lncRNA from 1 species